ACCAAAGUUUGCAGUAGAGGUUUGACAGUGAAACAAAAUUUGCAAGGUAUGAAGAUGACGAUGCAACAAAAAUUUGCACCAGAAGUAUGACGAUGCAAGGUAUCAAAAGACAACGAUAAAACCAAAGUUUGAGAGAGACGUCAAUGCAAAAGACAGAGUGACACCAAUGCAAACAAAACUCUGAAACCUGUUUUAAUACCCAAUACUCAAGAGAGAGAAAAUAUCCGAGUGGAAACAAAAGUUAGAUAGGUGAUAGAGGACCUGUUUUGACAACGAAUUUGAGUAGAUCGAUCCUUAACCACAUAACAAAUAGCAGCAAAAUGCCAUCAAUCAACUGUGGUUGUUUCAGCAGCAAUCCACGGCGAUCUU
rnacentral:lncRNA from 1 species